AACAGACCAUAAAUGUUAUUUUCAGCAUUUGUUUUCCUUCACACUCUGUGAAGCCUCUGUGACCAAUGAACAGGUGAAGGAAAAGAAACAUGACGACAAACUGAAGACACACAACUUUGUCUUUUCACAUCACCAAACACCAAGGAGGUGAUGUCACUCUGUCCUGAGCUUACACGCACCCCCCCCCCCCCCCCCCCUUACACACAGACGUACAGUCACACACCUAAACUCCCCCUUCACUCACUCACACACACCCACAGUCGGAGACAGACUGAACGGACUGGUUUUGUUGCUCAGUGUGACGGAGACACAAACAAAUGAACUUGAUGUAUGAAUGAACUUUCUUGGAAGGUGCCUCCUGUGCUGUUGUCUUUACAGAGAAGUCGGAAAAACACCCAGAGUUUCCCAGAGACUGGGUCGCGACCCUCAGGUGGGUCGCAAGGGUUUUGGGUUUUUUUUUUGGGGUUGUCACGGUCAUCGCAUCCAACAGCUGUCUGCAUCCAACAGCUGUCUGCAUCCAACCUCAGAAUAGCUGCCAGUUUAAAAGCUGUCGACCAAUGAAUACACGGCAGUAGACGGCUAUAUAAAUCCUCCUCUGUUGUCUCCAAACUGGCUACUCUGGAUCUUCUGGUCUUUGGACGCUCUGUGGUUUUACGUGUUUAUUGACACACAACACACAGAGAUCGAGGCCUGUUGAUAGUGACCACUCCCACUGUUAGUCCUGUCACCAACCACUGUGGUAUUUUUCUAGAACCUUUCUGUUCUGUUUCUGGGAAGCUGCUUUUAGUCGCUUUAAUCUGAAUGAUG